UCUGUUCCUGAGUUAAUUUUUCCUGGACCAAACUGAGGGCCGAGCUGCUAUUUCUCAUGGCCCAAUAACGAGAUGCAGAUGAACUGAGGAGGAAGAGGUGUUUAUUUCUAGAGCCGGUUAGAGGGAGAAGUCCUGGAAAUUAAUUGCCAGACCAACUCCAAAUUACAAAGUUUUCCAGAGCUUGUAUACCUUCUAAGCUAUACGUCUAUGUGUAAGUGUGCCUUCAUCCAAAGACAUAAGUGAUUAACUUCUUUUAAUCUAUAGCUGAGGUCUGAGUCCUGAA